rnacentral:tRNA from 1 species
AGGCAUGUAGCUCAGUGGUAGAGUUCUUGCCUCGCAUGCAUGAAGCCCUGGGUUUGAUCCUCAGCACUA